rnacentral:rRNA from 1 species
AUUCCAGCUCCAAUAGCGUAUAUUUAAGUUGUUGCGGUUAAAAAGCUCGUAGUUGGAUUUCGGGCGUGGAGGUUCGGUCCGCCGUUUCGGUGUGCACUGUCUUUCUGCGUCUUUCUGUCGGUGACGCGCUUCUGGCCUUAAUUGGCUGGGACGUGGAUUCGACGAGGUUACUUUGAAAAAAUUAGAGUGUUCAAAGCAAGCUAAAGCUCUGAAUACAUUAGCAUGGAAUAACGCGAGAGGACUCGGUCCUUAUUUUGUUGGUCUUCAAGGAUGGAGUAAUGAUUAAGAGGGACAGUUGGGGGCAUUCGUAUUUCAUUGCUAGAGGUGAAAUUCUUGGAUUUAUGAAAGACGAACUUCUGCGAAAGCAUUUGCCAAGGAUGUUUUCAUUA